rnacentral:rRNA from 1 species
AGUGAACGCUGGCGGUAGGCCUAACACAUGCAAGUCGAACGGCAGCACAGUAAGAGCUUGCUCUUACGGGUGGCGAGUGGCGGACGGGUGAGGAAUACAUCGGAAUCUACUUUUUCGUGGGGGAUAACGUAGGGAAACUUACGAUAAUACCGCAUACGACCUACGGGUGAAAGCAGGGGAUCUUCGGACCUUGUGCGAUUGAAUGAGCCGAUGUCGGAUUAGCUAGUUGGCGGGGUAAAGGCCCACCAAGGCGACGAUCCGUAGCUGGUCUGAGAGGAUGAUCAGCCACACUGGAACUGAGACACGGUCCACACUCCUACGGGAGGCAGCAGUGGGGAAUAUUGGACAAUGGGCGCAAGCCUGAUCCAGCCAUACCGCGUGGGUGAAGAAGGCCUUCGGGUUGUAAAGCCCUUUUGUUGGGAAAGAAAAGCAGCAGGUUAAUACCCCGCUGUUCUGACGGUACCCAAAGAAUAAGCACCGGCUAACUUCGUG